UCAAAAUAUAAGUUGGCUUUAUAAAAUUGAAACGAUAUUGAGAGGAUUAGCAUGGCCCUGUGCAAGGAUGACACGCACAAAAGGAGAAAUGGUCCAAAUUUUU